CAAGUCGAACGCGAAAGUCCCCUUCGGGGGAUGAGUAGAGUGGCGCACGGGUGAGUAACACGUAGGUAAUUUGCCUUCGGGUGGGGAAUAACAGCCGGAAACGGCUGCUAAUACCGCAUAAUGCAGCGGCUCGACAUCGAGACAGUUGUUAAAGCGGGGGAUCGCAAGACCUCGCGCCUGAAGAGAAGCCUGCGGCAGAUUAGCUAGUUGGUAAGGUAAUGGCUUACCAAGGCAACGAUCUGUAACCGGCCUGAGAGGGCGGUCGGUCACACUGACACUGACAUACGGGUCAGACUCCUACGGGAGGCAGCAGUCGGGAAUUUUGGGCAAUGGGCGAAAGCCUGACCCAGCAACGCCGCGUGAAGGAUGAAAUCCCUCGGGAUGUAAACUUCGCAAGAAUGGGAAGAAUAAGUAGAGGAUAAUACCCUUUAUGAUGACGGUACCAUUUGUAAGCUCCGGCUAACUUCGUGCCAGCAGCCGCGGUAAUACGAGGGGAGCAAGCGUUGUUCGGAUUUACUGGGCGUAAAGGGCGCGUAGGCGGCCACGACAAGUCACUUGUGAAAUCUCCGGGCUUAACUCGGAAAGGUCAAGUGAUACUGUCGGGCUAGAGUACAGAAGGGGCAACUGGAAUUCUCGGUGUAGCGGUGAAAUGCGUAGAUAUCGAGAGGAACACCUGCGGCGAAGGCGGGUUGCUGGGCUGAUACUGACGCUGAUGCGCGAAAGCCAGGGGAGCGAACGGGAUUAGAUACCCCGGUAGUCCUGGCCUUAAACGAUGAAUGCUUGGUGUCUCGGGUUAUAAAGUCCCGGGGUGCCGUCGCUAACGCUUUU
rnacentral:rRNA from 1 species